UACAGAGGUCCCAAGCGUUGUUCGGAUUCACUGGGCGUAAAGGGUGCGUAGGUGGUGAAAUAAGUCGGAUGUGAAAUCUCGGAGCUUAACUCCGAAACUGCAUUGGAAACUACUUUGCUCGAGGGUUGGAGGGGGACUGGAAUUCUCGGUGUAGCAGUGAAAUGCGUAGAUAUCGAGAGGAACACCAGUGGCGAAGGCGAGUCCCUGGACAACUCCUGACACUGAGGCACGAAAGCUAGGGGAGCAAACAGG
rnacentral:rRNA from 1 species